UGGGCAACCUGCCCUCAGCUCUGGGAUAACCCCGGGAAACCGGGGCUAAUACCGGAUACGACCUCCGCGGGCAUCUGCGGAGGUGGAAAGGUUUUCCGGCUGAGGAUGGGCCCGCGGCCUAUCAGCUAGUUGGUGGGGUGAUGGCCCACCAAGGCGAUGACGGGUAGCCGGCCUGAGAGGGCGACCGGCCACACUGGGACUGAGACACGGCCCAGACUCCUACGGGAGGCA
rnacentral:rRNA from 1 species